UUGAACGCUGGCGGAAUGCUUUACACAUGCAAGUCGAGCGGCAGCGCGGGGCAACCUGGCGGCGAGCGGCGAACGGGUGAGUAAUACAUCGGAACGUGCCCGAUCGUGGGGGAUAACGCAGCGAAAGCUGUGCUAAUACCGCAUACGAUCUACGGAUGAAAGCAGGGGACCGCAAGGCCUUGCGCGGACGGAGCGGCCGAUGGCAGAUUAGGUAGUUGGUGGGAUAAAAGCUUACCAAGCCGACGAUCUGUAGCUGGUCUGAGAGGACGACCAGCCACACUGGGACUGAGACACGGCCCAGACUCCUACGGGAGGCAGCAGUGGGGAAUUUUGGACAAUGGGGGAAACCCUGAUCCAGCCAUGCCGCGUGCAGGAUGAAGGCCUUCGGGUUGUAAACUGCUUUUGUACGGAACGAAAAAGUCUUCUCUAAUACAGGGGGCGAAUGACGGUACCGUAAGAAUAAGCACCGGCUAACUACGU
rnacentral:rRNA from 1 species